rnacentral:sRNA from 1 species
CACAUCUUUUUACUGAUGAGACUAGCAUCAGAUUUUGUCACAUUUAGAGUCAUAGUCUAGCAAACCCUGACAUUGUCAUUCUCUGGACAACAAGCCUGGUAUUCUGUAAUGCCUUCAAGUGUUUUAGAGUGUUAUUCCCAUAAUAUGUAACUAUUACUUCAAAUAAACAUUCGUAUUUGCUGAUCUAUUUUCUUAAGAACAAGAGAGUGUCUCUGGAUUCUAUUGUAGUGUGAAUUCAGAGAAAGAAACGAGCUCUGACAGUGCAGCCUAGGGAAGAAGACUCCAGUCUGUUACUGUUUACUCAUUGAAAACGCAUACCAAAUCCUACACAAGUUCUUUAAAGCUGCAUAGCUCCCAAGAAAUCCAUACUGGGCUUUAUAAAAGAGGUGCUGGUUGACAGAAAGACAGAAAAACUGAGAAAGUGAUUUUAAAAUAUAACAUGAAGUUAAGUGAAGAUACAGGAACCCAGGAUAGCUAUAUAAGAAAAAAAGUGCACUGUAUGCUAUGAUUUGGGCCUUUAUGUGACAAUAUUUAUUUCUAGUUGGGGUACUACUGAACAAACUUUUGGAGAGAAGCAGGCCGUAAGAACUCUAGAAGUCUACAGAAGUUGUGAUGAGAAGUUAGGAGUGGCGAUGAGCAAGUCAAUGAAUUGUCUAAUGAAGCCUAAUGGAAGCGUCAGUGGGGAGUGGUUUAAUUAACUGAGGAAACUUGUCUCUGGCUGCCAAACUCAAGACUGUAGAAUGAAGAGGCAUUGUGUUCACAGAGGUGAGUGGGAAACACCACCAAGCCAGAUGUCCUCCUUGGUCCUCAGCCAUGAGUGGGGCCGUGCUCCUCCGUCUGUCAGCCUCCUGCACGUCAUCAAGAAGAUAAGGGUGAAGGAGGCAGGCAUCAAAGUUUGUGUGGCCGCAGUGGUGAUGGAGACAGCCAGAAGUGAAAGACUAGCCAUUAAAAGAGAGACUGAAAGUAAAUGGUGUAGAAUCCACACAGGGCAAUGAGAAGAACAGGGACCAGAGCUGUCUGGCAUCAGGCUGCAUGCCCUUUGGAGAGUGGCGGGAUGCCUAGGAGAGUGCAGACUUCAGUGCUCAGCCCACAGAUCAGAAGUCCAAUCUCUCCAUGUACUUCCUCAUGGAUGAAGUUCCCACAGCCAAGACCAAAUUUACUCUUCUGACUUUGGGAGAAUUAGAAUGGUGCAAAGCAACAGAACGGAAAGAGAGCUGGCUCCUCUCUCCAGUCAUUUAUCUCCAGUCUUAAUGUCGUUUCCUCACUGGCUCCACAGGUUUUUCACGGCAGAUGUAUGCGGUGACCAGUUGUCUUCAUCAUCCUUCUCCGAACAUAAACUUCACCUUAAACUUCAUGCCUGUACUCCAUGGACUUCCAUCUGGUGAGAAAGGUACUGACGGAUUUUCCAGGUAGCUGCAUCCUUUUUCCUUCUCUUCACAUCCCGCAUAGUACAAUCCAAAGACAGUGUAAAGUUUUGUACAAAAGCUACUGAAUGUCCCAGUAUGGCUUACAUUUAUAGAAUAAACCAACCAAAAUGUUGGGGUCGGGAAACUCAGGGGCUUAAAGACCAAUUGAAACAAGUUAUCUUGUCCUGUAACAUGUUUCUACAAGCAACAGGGGACAAGGAAAGUCUUUUACUGGGGAAAGAAAGAUGAAUUUGACCAUGACUUUGAAUUCUGAAGAUUCAGUGGCAGAAUUUGACAGGCAGGGUAGAUUUUUAAAGAGUAUAAACUGAGGAAGACCAAGAAGCAACUUCUGCAUGGAGAGGGUGAGGACCUGAAUUGGGAAAGUGACAGUAACAUAGGGACAGACUUCAGAGUCAAGACAACAGGCUCUUAAAUGUUGGCUGGGACAUUUAAAAACCACACCAUGGGGGGCUGGGGAUUUA